UACGUAGGGUGCAAGCGUUAUCCGGAAUUAUUGGGCGUAAAGAGCUCGUAGGCGGUUUGUCGCGUCUGCUGUGAAAACUGGAGGCUCAACCUCCAGCCUGCAGUGGGUACGGGCAAACUAGAGUGCGGUAGGGGAGAUUGGAAUUCCUGGUGUAGCGGUGGAAUGCGCAGAUAUCAGGAGGAACACCGAUGGCGAAGGCAGAUCUCUGGGCCGUAACUGACGCUGAGGAGCGAAAGCAUGGGGAGCGAGCAGG
rnacentral:rRNA from 1 species